GUGAAUCAUCAAAUUUUUGAACGCAAAUUGCACUCUUUUCGGAGAGUAUGCCUGUUUGAGGGUCAGUAUUAAUAAAAUCGGUGUUGCUUUUUUGUGACGUUCCGGAGAUUGGGCUACCUUUAACUUUCGGGUCUAAGAGGCUUAAAAUUGAUCUUUUUUGCGCACUUUUUAAUGUAAAUAAUUUUUUUUAUGUAUUAUUUUGUUGG
rnacentral:misc_RNA from 1 species